UCGAACGAGGUGCUUUUUGUAGCAAUACGAGGAGUAUCCUAGUGGCGAACGGGUGAGUAACGCGUGGGUGACCUACCCCAAAGUGUGGAAUAACAGUCCGAAAGGAUUGCCAAUGCCGCAUGUGGUCUGCGAGUUUAGAAAUCGUUGACUAAAGGAGCAAUUCGCUUUGGGAGGGACCUGCGUCCCAUCAGCUAGUUGGUGAGGUAACGGCUCACCAAGGCUACGACGGGUAGGGGACCUGAGAGGGUGGCCCCCCACAAUGGAACUGAAACACGGUCCAUACACCUACGGGUGGCAGCAGUAGGGAAUAUUGCACAAUGGGCGAAAGCCUGAUGCAGCAACGCCGCGUGCGCGAUGAAGGUCUUCGGAUCGUAAAGCGCUUUUCUGAGAGAUGAGAAAGGACAGUAUCUCAGGAAUAAGUCUCGGCUAACUACGUGCCAGCAGCCGCGGUAAAACGUAGGAGGCGAGCGUUAUCCGGAUUCACUGGGCGUAAAGCGCGUGCAGGUGGUUCGGUAAGUUGGGCGUGAAAUCUCCCGGCUCAACUGGGAGAGGUCGUUCAAUACUACCGGACUUGAGAGCAGAAGAGGAAGAUGGAAUUCCCGGUGUAGUGGUGAAAUGCGUAGAUAUCGGGAGGAACACCAGUGGCGAAGGCGAUCUUCUGGUCUGUUUCUGACACUCAGACGCGACAGCUAGGGUAGUAAACGGGAUUAGAGACCCCGGUAAUCCUAGCCGUAAACGAUGUGAACUUGGCGUUGGUGGGUUAAACUCCAUCAGUGCCGAAGCAAACGCGAUAAGUUCACCGCCUGGGGACUACGGCCGCAAGGUUAAAACUCAAAGGAAUUGACGG
rnacentral:rRNA from 1 species